UGAACGCUGGCGGCGUGCCUAAUACAUGCAAGUCGAGCGAACGGACGAGAAGCUUGCUUCUCUGAUGUUAGCGGCGGACGGGUGAGUAACACGUGGAUAACCUACCUAUAAGACUGGGAUAACUUCGGGAAACCGGAGCUAAUACCGGAUGAUAUUUUGAACCGCAUGGUUCAAAAGUGAAAGACGGUCUUGCUGUCACUUAUAGAUGGAUCCGCGCUGCAUUAGCUAGUUGGUAAGGUAACGGCUUACCAAGGCAACGAUGCAUAGCCGACCUGAGAGGGGGAUCGGCCACACUGGAACUGAGACACGGUCCAGACUCCUACGGGAGGCAGCAGUAGGGAAUCUUCCGCAAAAGGCGAAAGCCUGACGGAGCAACGCCGCGUGAGUGAUGAAGGUCUUCGGAUCGUAAAACUCUGUUAUUAGGGAAGAACAUAUGUGUAAGUAACUGUGCACAUCUUGACGGUACCUAAUCAGAAAGCCACGGCUAACUACGUG
rnacentral:rRNA from 1 species